CCUACGGGGGGCAGCAGUAGGGAAUAUUGCUCAAUGGGGGAAACCCUGAAGCAGCAACGCCGCGUGGAGGAUGAAGGUUUUCGGAUUGUAAACUCCUUUUGUUAGAGAAGAUAAUGACGGUAUCUAACGAAUAAGCACCGGCUAACUACGUGCCAGCAGCCGCGGUAAUACGGAGGGUGCAAGCGUUACUCGGAAUCACUGGGCGUAAAGAGCGCGUAGGCGGGAUAGCAAGUCAGAUGUGAAAUCCUAUGGCCUAACCAUAGAACUGCAUUUGAAACUGUUAGUCUAGAGUAGGGGAGAGGUAGGUGGAAUGCUUGGUGUAGGGGUAAAAUCCGUAGAGAUCGAGAGGAAUACUCAUUGCGAAGGCGACCUGCUAGAACAUAACUGACGCUGAUGCGCGAAAGCGUGGGGAUCAAACAGGAUUAGAUACCCGGGUAGUC
rnacentral:rRNA from 1 species